rnacentral:rRNA from 1 species
GAUGAACGCUAGCGGCAGGCCUAAUACAUGCAAGCUGAACGGUAAAUGUUAUAGCAAUAUGAUAUGAGAGUAGCGUAAGGGUGCGUAACACGUAUGCGAUCUGCCCGCAACAGGAGGAUAGCUCCCCGAAAGGGGAAUUAAUACUCCAUAAUAUCACGAGAGGGCAUCUGAUUGUGAUUAAACUCCAAGGGGUUGCGGAUGAGCAUGCGUCUGAUUAGUUAGUUGGUGAGGUAACGGCUCACCAAGACGAUGAUCAGUAGGGGAACUGAGAGGUUGAUCACCCACACUGGCACUGAGAUACGGGCCAGACUCCUACGGGAGGCAGCAGAAGGGAAUAUUGGUCAAUGGGUGAGAGCCUGAACCAGCCAUGCCGCGUGCAGGAAGACGGCCUUCUGGGUUGUAAACUGCUUUUGUCAGGGGAUAAAAUACCCGUGCGCGGGGAAUUGAAGGUACCUGAUGAAUAAGCCACGGCUAACUACGUGCCAGCCGCCGCGGUAAUAC